UGUCUAAGUGCAAGCCUCAAUGUACAGUGAAACCGCGAAUGGCUCAUUAAAUCGGUUAUGGUUCCUUAGAUGAUACCUUUUCUAGUUGGACAACUGUGGAAAAUCUAGAGCUAAUACAUGACACUAAGCUCCGACCGUUUCCCGUGCUUCGCGGCGCGGGCGGGAGGAGUGCUUUUAUUGGAUCAAAACCAACGCGGGUGCCGGCUCGUGUCGUCGCGUGUGGUGCUGCCGUUCGUCCUCCGCUGCUCGCCGUCCCUCGGGGCGCGCGUUGCACGCGGCGUGGCGACGGCACGUGCCCUCGCGGCAGCGGGUCGGCUUCGAGGCUGGACGUGCGUCCCGGCGUCGGCGCAAGCCGGCGUGUCUGCCGCCGCCCGGUCGCCCGCAAGCGUUCUGGUGACUCUGGAUAAAUUCUGCUGAUCGCACACGGCCUCCGAGCCGGUGACGUGUCUUCGAAAUGUCCGACCCAUCAAGUACCGUCGGUAAGCGCCAUGCCUACCGAGCUCGUAACGGGUAACGGGGAAUCAGGGUUCGAUUCCGGAGAGGGAGCAUGAGAAACGGCUACCACAUCCAAGGAAGGCAGCAGGCACGCAAAUUACCCACUCCUAGAGCGGGGAGGUAGUGACAAAAAAUGACAAUACGGGACUCGUUCGAGGCCCCGUAAUUGGAAUGAGUACACUUUAAAUCCUUUAACGAGGAUCUAUUGGAGGGCAAGUCUGGUGCCAGCAGCCGCGGUAAUUCCAGCUCCAAUAGCGUAUAUUAAAGUUGUUGCGGUUAAAAAGCUCGUAGUUGGAUUUCGGCAUGCGGCGCGGCCGUCCGCCUAACGGCGGUCACGGGCCGCGUACCCGCUUGCCGCUAGCCGGUUUUGCCUUCCGGGGGUGCCCUUCGCUGGGCUGCCCUCGGCGGCCGGUGAGUUUACUUUGAGAAAAUUAGAGUGUUCAAAGCAGGCUGCUGACGCCUGAACGGUGGUGCAUGGAAUAAUGGAAUAGGAUCUCGGUUCUAUUUUGUUGGCUUUCGGAAACCCCGAGAUAAUGAUUAAGCGGGACAGACGGGGGCAUUCGUACUACGGAGCCAGAGGUGAAAUUCUUAGACCUCCGUAAGACGAACUACUGCGAAAGCAUCUGCCAAGGAUGUUUUCAUUAAUCAAGAGCGAAAGUCAGAGGUUCGAAGACGAUCAGAUACCGUCCUAGUUCUGACCAUAAACGAUGUCGACUAGCGGUGCGCCGGCGUCGUAUCACUUGACCCGGCGUGCAGCUGCUCUCGGGAAACCAAAGUCUUUGGAUUCCGGGGGAAGUAUGGUUGCAAAGCUGAAACUUAAAGGAAUUGACGGAAGGGCACCACCAGAUGUGGAGCCUGCGGCUUAAUUUGACUCAACGCGGGGAACCUUACCAGGUCCGGACAUUUGCAAGGAUUGACAGUCUGAUAGCUCUUUCUUGAUUCAAUGGGUGGUGGUGCAUGGCCGUUCUUAGUUCGUGGAGCGAUCUGUCUGGUUAAUUCCGAUAACGAACGAGACUCCGACCUACUAAUCAAGCUAGCCGGCCCUACUCGAGCCGGUGCAGCACUUAUAGCUUCUUAGAGGAACCGGCGGCGUCUAGUCGCACCAAGAGGAGCAAUAACAGGUCUGUGAUGCCCUUAGAUGUCCUGGACUGCACGCGCGCUACAAUGAAGCAAUCAGCGGGACACUCGCCUAGCCCGAGAGGGCCGGGUAAACCGAUGAACCUGCUUCGUGGUUGGGACUGACGCGUGCAAUUCUCGUCACGAACGAGGAAUAUCCAGUAAGCGCGGGUCAGCAGCCGGCGUUGAUUACGUCCCUGCCCUUUGUACACACCGCCCGUCGCUACUACCGAUUGAGUGGCUCAGUGAGGCUCUCGGAUCGGCGUCG
rnacentral:rRNA from 1 species